rnacentral:rRNA from 1 species
GAUGAACGCUGGCGGCGUGCCUAAUACAUGCAAGUCGAGCGAACAGACGAGGAGCUUGCUCCUCUGACGUUAGCGGCGGACGGGUGAGUAACACGUGGAUAACCUACCUAUAAUACUGGGAUAACUUCGGGAAACCGGAGCUAAUACCGGAUAAUAUAUUGAACCGCAUGGUUCAAUAGUGAAAGAUGGUUUUGCUGUCACUUAUAGAUGGAUCCGCGCCGCAUUAGCUAGUUGGUAAGGUAACGGCUUACCAAGGCGACGAUGCGUAGCCGACCUGAGAGGGUGAUCGGCCACACUGGAGCUGAGACACGGUCCAGACUCCUACGGGAGGCAGCAGUAGGGAAUCUUCCGCAAUGGGCGAAAGCCUGACGGAGCAACGCCGCGUGAGUGAUGAAGGUCUUCGGAUCGUAAAACUCUGUUAUUAGGGAAGAACAAAUGUGUAAGUAACUAUGCACGUCUUGACGGUACCUAAUCAGAAAGCCACGGCUAACUACGUG